GAUGAACGCUGGCGGCGUGCCUAACACAUGCAAGUCGAACGGUGAAGCAGAGCUUGCUCUGUGGAUCAGUGGCGAACGGGUGAGUAACACGUGAGCAACCUGCCCCUGACUCUGGGAUAAGCGCUGGAAACGGCGUCUAAUACUGGAUAUGAGCUGCGACCGCAUGGUCAGCAGUUGGAAAGAUUUUUCGGUCUGGGAUGGGCUCACGGCCUAUCAGCUUGUUGGUGAGGUAAUGGCUCACCAAGGCGUCGACGGGUAGCCGGCCUGAGAGGGUGACCGGCCACACUGGGACUGAGACACGGCCCAGACUCCUACGGGAGGCAGCAGUGGGGAAUAUUGCACAAUGGGCGAAAGCCUGAUGCAGCAACGCCGCGUGAGGGAUGACGGCCUUCGGGUUGUAAACCUCUUUUAGCAGGGAAGAAGCGAAAGCGACGGUACCUGCAGAAAAAGCGCCGGCUAACUACGUG
rnacentral:rRNA from 1 species